rnacentral:miRNA from 1 species
AGGGGGCCGUACCUCAUGCAGA